rnacentral:rRNA from 1 species
GACGUAGGGGGCCAGCGUUGUUCGGAAUUACUGGGCGUAAAGGGUUCGUAGGCGGUGUGGCAAGUCGGGAGUGAAAUCUCUGGGCUCAACCCAGAGACUGCUUCCGAAACUGCUGUGCUUGAGUGUGAGAGAGGCUCGUGGAAUUGCAGGUGUAGCGGUGAAAUGCGUAGAUAUCUGCAGGAACACCCGUGGCGAAAGCGGCGAGCUGGAUCACUACUGACGCUGAGGAACGAAAGCGUGGGGAGCGAACAGG